rnacentral:rRNA from 1 species
UACGGAGGGGGCUAGCGUUGUUCGGAAUUACUGGGCGUAAAGCGCGCGUAGGCGGACCUGCAAGUCGGGGGUGAAAGCCCGAGGCUCAACCUCGGAACUGCCUUCGAUACUGCGGGUCUCGAGUCCGGGAGAGGUGAGUGGAAUUCCUAGUGUAGAGGUGGAAUUCGUAGAUAUUAGGAAGAACACCAGUGGCGAAGGCGGCUCACUGGCCCGGUACUGACGCUGAGGUGCGAAAGCGUGGGGAGCAAACAGG